CUACGCACUCCUACGGGAGGCAGCAGUGGGGAAUAUUGCACAAUGGGCGCAAGCCUGAUGCAGCCAUGCCGCGUGUAUGAAGAAGGCCUUCGGGUUGUAAAGUACUUUCAGCAGUGAGGAAGGUGGGUAUGUUAAUAGCAUACUCAUUUGACGUUAGCUGCAGAAGAAGCACCGGCUAACUCCGUGCCAGCAGCCGCGGUAAUACGGAGGGUGCGAGCGUUAAUCGGAAUUACUGGGCGUAAAGCGCAUGCAGGUGGUUUGUUAAGUCAGAUGUGAAAGCCCGGGGCUCAACCUCGGAAUUGCAUUUAGAAACUGGACAAACUAGAGUACUGUAGAGGGGGUAGAAUUUCAGGUGUAGCGGUGAAAUGCGUAGAGAUCUGAAGGAAUACCGGUGGCGAAGGCGGCCCCCUGGACAGAUACUGACACUCAGAUGCGAAAGCGUGGGGAGCAAACAGGAUUAGAUACCCUGGUAG
rnacentral:rRNA from 1 species